UUCAGAUUGUUUUUAUCUUUUUCUUAAUUAUUUUAUUUACAUUUCAAGUGUUGUUCCCCCUUCCCAAUCCCCACUCCACUCCUCCCCCACCCCUCCCUGAACUGGAAACUUAAGGUUUUUUGGAAAAUCAGUUGGAUGGUGUUUUGCUGGGGCAAACACAUGAAGGAACAUUUUGUUAAAGUAGACACAGGUGUGAAAGGCUAAGGCCGACCCAUGAAGGAACGUUUCGGAAGCAGACAUACAGGGGAGAGGAAGUUCUGCUAAAGCAAGCACGUGAAAGGACACGUGACAAAGGAUUCUUUGCUAAAUGACACACAUGUAUUGGUCUGCCUUAUAUUGCAUAGUUGAGCUAUAUUACUCAGGACUCCAUAGAGAGCAAUGGAACAAAAAACAUCUGGUGGUGUGCUGCAGUUUCUUGCCACUUCCUCAGACUUGGGCUGACUGGAUGCAUGUGCUGAGGCAAGGCACAUGUAGGACACAUGAUGUUUGGAGGGUAGAAAUAGGACUCCUGAUGGAAACAGAGCUUGGCUUGCUGUGCAACCUUGUGGAUCUUGAGUCUUCACUGAUCUUCGUUCCCCUGAGAGAGGCACAGCUGAGAACUUCUCCUGGUAAAAAAAAAAAAAAAAAAAAAAAAAAAGAGAGAACUUCUCCUGGUGUUCCUGCUGGUCCCUCCCGCUGACUGGUGCUAAGGCUGAUGCCUGAUUGUCUCAGCUAGAUGGUGUCACCCUGUCACUGUUGUUGCUAACCUGACUCUACCGAAUUGGACUACUGAUAUAUCCGUGAAGUGUUUGCGAGUGGAUGGAGCUGCUGCUGCCUGCUAAUUGAACUGAUUUCCAGACAACACAGACAGGAGUUGCUCCAAAGAAACUUUUUAAACAGGUUCACUCCUCCAGCCCACCCCCCAGACCCCAGACCCCCGUAUCCUUUCUUUCCCACUACUCUGGUGGGUGGUAGGCUACAAGUGUUUAAGAACCAUCAUUCAAAAUAAAGUUUGAAAAAAUUAAAGUUACACAUCCCCCUCCCCUUUGCCUUUAAGAGGGUGCUCACUCACCCACUCAGUCCCACUUCACCCCUCUAGAAUCUCCCUUCUUUGGGGCAUCAAGCCUCCACAGGACCAAUCACAUCCUCUCACACUGAUGCCAGAUAAGGCAGUCCUCUUCUACAUAUGUAACAGGAGCACGGACUGGACCGUGUAUUCUCUUUCACUGGUGGCUUAGUCCCUGGGAGCUCUGAUGGGUCUGGUUAGUUGAAACUUUUGUUCUUCCUAUGAGGUUACAAUCCCCUUCAGGUCCUUGAGUUCUUUCCUUAACUCUUCCAUUGGAAUCCCCAAGCUCAAUCCAAUAGUUGGCUAUGAUUAUCUGCGUCUGUCUUAGGUACUGGCAGAGCCUCUAGAGGACAGCCAUGCCAGGCUCCUGCCUGCAAGUACAUCUUGGCAUCAGCAAUAAUGUUAAGGUUUGGUGUCUACAAAUAGGGUGGAUCCCAAGUUGGGGCGGCCUCUGAUGGCCUUUCCUUCAGUCUCUGCUCCAUUUUUUGUCCCUGCAUUUUCUUUAGUCAGGGACAAUUCCCAGUUAAAAUUUUUGAGAUGAGUGGAUGACCCCACACCACCACUAGGGGCCAUGUCCAUCUACUGGAGGUGGUCUCUUCAUGUUCUGUCUCCCUGCUAUUGGGUAUUUCGGCUAAUGUCAUCCCGAUUGGGUCCUGGGAGCUCCUUCAGCCAUUCGAGAUUCCUCAGUUGAGAAAUCUCUAUUUAGCUCUGUACCACAUUUUUUAAUUGGAUUAUUUGGUUUGAAAAAAUCACAUCAUCUCAUUAAAUGCUGAAAAAGCCUUUGACAAAAUACAACACCCCUUCAUGUUAAAAGUCUUGGAGAGAUCAGGAAUUCAAGGCACAUUCCUAAACAUAAUAAAAGCAAUAUCCAGCAAACCAGCAGCCAACAUCAAAUUUAAUGGAGAGAAACUUGAAGUGAUCCCACUAAAAUCAGGGAUAAGACAAGGCUGCCACUCUCUCCCUAUUUAGACAACAAAAAAAGGUCAAAGUGACACAUAUUGGAAAGGAAGAAGUCAAAGUAUCACCAUUUGCAGAUGAUAUAGUAUACAUAGUGACCCCAAAAUUCUAUCAGAGAACUCCUACACCUGAUAAAGAAUUUCAGCAAAGUAGCUGGAUAUAAAAAUUAAAUCAGUAGCCUUCCUCUACACAAAAGAUAAAUGGACUGAAAAAGAAAUUAGGGAAACAACACCCUUCACAGUAGUCACAAAUAAUAUAAACUAUCUUGGUGUAACUCUAACCAAACAAGUGAAAGACUUGUAUCACAUGAACUUCAACUCUCUGAAGAAAGAAAUCGAAGAAGACCCAGAAGAUAGAAAGAUCUCCCAUGCACAUGAAUCAGUAGAAUUGACAUAGUAAAAAUGGCCAUCUUACCAAAAGCAAUCUACAGAUUCAAUGCAAUCAAUCCCCAUCUAAAUUCCAACUCAAUUCUUCGCAGAGAGAGAAAGAGUAAUUCUCAACUUUUUAUGGAAU
rnacentral:lncRNA from 1 species